GCUUACGGCCAUACCAACCUGGUUAUGCCCGAUCUCGUCUGCUCUCGGAAGCUAAGCAGGUUUGGGCCUGGUUAGUACUUGGAUGGGAGACCGCCUGGGAAUACCAGGUGCUGUAAGCU
ensembl:rRNA 5S_rRNA 5S ribosomal RNA